GACGAACGCUGGCGGCGUGCUUAACACAUGCAAGUCGAACGGAAAGGCCCUGCUUUUGUGGGGUGCUCGAGUGGCGAACGGGUGAGUAACACGUGAGUAACCUGCCCUUGACUUUGGGAUAACUUCAGGAAACUGGGGCUAAUACCGGAUAGGAGCUCCUGCUGCAUGGUGGGGGUUGGAAAGUUUCGGCGGUUGGGGAUGGACUCGCGGCUUAUCAGCUUGUUGGUGGGGUAGUGGCUUACCAAGGCUUUGACGGGUAGCCGGCCUGAGAGGGUGACCGGCCACAUUGGGACUGAGAUACGGCCCAGACUCCUACGGGAGGCAGCAGUGGGGAAUAUUGCACAAUGGGCGGAAGCCUGAUGCAGCAACGCCGCGUGCGGGAUGACGGCCUUCGGGUUGUAAACCGCUUUCGCCUGUGACGAAGCGUGAGUGACGGUAAUGGGUAAAGAAGCACCGGCUAACUACGUGCCAGCAGCCGCGGUGAUACGUAGGGUGCGAGCGUUGUCCGGAUUUAUUGGGCGUAAAGGGCUCGUAGGUGGUUGAUCGCGUCGGAAGUGUAAUCUUGGGACUUAACCCUGAGCGUGCUUUCGAUACGGGUUGACUUGAGGAAAAGGUAGGGGAGAAUGGAAUUCCUGGUGGAGCGGUGGAAUGCGCAGAUAUCAGGAGGAACACCAGUGGCGAAGGCGGUUCUCUGGGCCUUUCCUGACGCUGAGGAGCGAAAGCGUGGGGAGCGAACAGGCUUAGAUACCCUGGUAGUCCACGCUGUAAACGGUGGGUACUAGGUGUGGGGUCCAUUCCACGGGUUCCGUGCCGUAGCUAACGCUUUAAGUACCCCGCCUGGGGAGUACGGCCGCAAGGCUAAAACUCAAAGGAAUUGACGGGGCCCCGCACAAGCGGCGGAGCAUGCGGAUUAAUUCGAUGCAACGCGUAGAACCUUACCUGGGUUUGACAUGGAUCGGGAGUGCUCAGAGAUGGAUGUGCCUCUUUUGGGGUCGGUUCACAGGUGGUGCAUGGCUGUCGUCAGCUCGUGUCGUGAGAUGUUGGGUUAAGUCCCGCAACGAGCGCAACCCUUGUUCACUGUUGCCAGCACGUUAUGGUGGGGACUCAGUGGAGACCGCCGGGGUCAACUCGGAGGAAGGUGGGGAUGACGUCAAGUCAUCAUGCCCCUUAUGUCCAGGGCUUCACGCAUGCUACAAUGGCUGGUACAGAGAGUGGCGAGCCUGUGAGGGUGAGCGAAUCUCGGAAAGCCGGUCUCAGUUCGGAUUGGGGUCUGCAACUCGACCUCAUGAAGUCGGAGUCGCUAGUAAUCGCAGAUCAGCAACGCUGCGGUGAAUACGUUCCCGGG
rnacentral:rRNA from 1 species